rnacentral:rRNA from 1 species
AUAAAGGUGUUAGUUCGAAGAGGGGGCUCGCAUUUGAUAAAUUAAUUGGUGAAGCUAUAGCUUAUCAAAGCAAUGAUUAGUAGCUAGUUCGAGAGGAUGAUUAGCUAUAUUGGGAUUGAGAUAUGGUUCAGACUCCUAUUAAAAGUAG